GCAGGGUCGCGGGUGUAGGGUGGCGGCGCUCCGCCUUUCACCGACGCACCUGGGAGAAACAGACCGGAGGACGCGGGUGGCGCGGAGCACGAGAAACAACGAGUUUCUGUCUAGAUCGUGGGGGACCCAAGCCCGGGGUUGCGUCCAAGGUCGGGGAUGGAGAGGACGCGACCCCCGCGGCAGUCGAGAUGGCCUUUUUAAAAUUCUAUAUUUGAGAAGGAGUCUCGCGCUGUCGCCCAGGCUGGAGCGCAAUGGCGCGAAAUCGGCUCAUUGCAGCCUCGACGUCCAGGACUCGAGCGAUCCUCCCGCCUCAGCCUCUCGAGAAGGUGGGACCACCGGUGGGCACCGCCACGCCCGGCUAAUUUUUAUUAAUGUUUUGCUAGAGCCGGGAUCUUGCUGUGUUGUCUGGCUGGUCUUAAACUCCUGGGCUCCAGCGAUCCUCCCUCCUCGGCCUCCCAAAGCGCUGGGAUUACAGGCAUGAGCCACACUGCGCCUGGCCAAGCUAGUGCAUUUUAAUUGACCUUCACUUCAUGUCAAUUUAUUUUUUACACUAUUCCAUUUAGUCCUCAGAACAGUUCUUUAGAAUUGGGUAUUGCUCCGUUUACGUGGGAAACAUAGCAGCGAGGUAACGGGCUGGGUCCCGUGCUGGGAACGGGAGCCCUGCUCAUCUGACUGCUUGCACCCUGUGCUGUCUAUGCUGGGCGUACUGGGGGGCGUUAGGGAAGAGACCACAGGUACGAUGCAAUGCCUGUCCUCAAGGAGCCCAUUGUUCUCAUGGGAACACAAAGCUGACACAUCGAGAACAAACUAUGGAACAGGCUGUGGCUGAGGGCCAUGAAGGAAGGCUGCCAAGUCCGGGCCCAGCCAGGAGUGGCCAGAAGGCUCCUCUCCAGGCCUCACAGAGGGAAACACUGGUCUAGUGAGAGACCUGCGUCCUGCCCAUCAGGACCGAAGCGGCACGCGUGAGGAUCCUGCAGGCCAAGAGACAACAGCGAUUACAAACCCCAGUCCCAGCCUUGCAGCUGACCUUGCAGGUGACGCCCUGCCUGGGUGUCUCGGUGCAGCUGCACAUCAGGGGCCUCUGCUGGACAGAAGCUCUGAGUCCACACUUGGCCCCCAGGCGCUGGAGCUGGAGCACUGCCACGAGAGGGGAUGCUGCCGUGGCUGCGCCAGCUUCAGCCCUUUCCCUGCACCGAGAUGUCCCAGUGAGCGGCUGGGUGCUCACAGUUCCCGUUGGGCCAUCAGAGGAAGAUCAAAGAUCAACCCUCCCCCAUGGGCUCCUGCCUGCCUGCCAGGUGGGUUUCCUGCCUGUCUCCCAGCCCCCAAGAGCUCCACGGACUCUGCCAGUAGCUGCUUUAAAGGAGGGAGGGAGUUUUCUGAUCCUCUGGACAUCCCUGGGGCUGGAGCUAUGGGCUGAGCCAUAGGAGAGCCAGCCCAGCUCCCUGGGGGUUGGGGGCUGUGUCUCUCCAUCCCUUAGUAAAAAUACAGCAACUCCCAAC
rnacentral:lncRNA from 1 species